CGGGGGCGCGCAGGGCCCUGAGGAGGAAGGUGGAGCUCGGCCAAGGAGGAGCCCGAGGCUGGGCGCAUCGUCCCUGCUAGGCAGACUUCUGACUUCCCUCUUCAUCCUAGGAGCCCGUCUAUGCACCUGUGUCGCGCGUCUCCCUUCUUGUGUGCUAGCCUUAUAUGCGCCAUUGCAGAUUGAAUCUUGCCAGACCCAUCUUCAGUGGAAGAAAGGGAAGUGUUUUGCUUCGUGCAUGGUUAAAUUAUAUUUGUUUUCAUGGCGCGUGCCUGAUGCUUUCUGGUUAUCUUGUCAGGUUUGAAUACACUCCUGUCCAGUUGCCAUCUGAUAAGGAUUUCUGAGAUAAUGUGUUAACUUAUUUAUUGGUAAAUGCAGGACGCUGCACUCCGUAAUCCUCAGUGUCAUACUGGUCUUUUUGUAAAUGUAAUUCUCCCUUGUUUUCCUUCUGUAUGCUGUGUUUCUGAUUUUGUGCCAAAAGUGUCUUCGUACUUAUUGUGGCAAGUCAUUAAUUAAAAUGUUCAAUAAAAACUGAUCCCAAGGGA